ACAGCAGCAGCCACGGUAAUACGUAGGUGGCAAGCGUUGUCCGGAAUUAUUGGGCGUAAAGGGCUCGCAGGCGGUUUCUUAAGUCUGAUGUGAAAGCCCCCGGCUCAACCGGGGAGGGUCAUUGGAAACUGGGGAACUUGAGUGCAGAAGAGGAGAGUGGAAUUCCACGUGUAGCGGUGAAAUGCGUAGAGAUGUGGAGGAACACCAGUGGCGAAGGCGACUCUCUGGUCUGUAACUGACGCUGAGGAGCGAAAGCGUGGGGAGCGAACAGGAUUAGAUACCCCUGUAGUCCCUGUCUCUUAUAC
rnacentral:rRNA from 1 species